CGAACGGCUUCGAGUUGCCUCGUGCAAUAUCAGGUAAUGUGGCCUAAAUACUGACCACUGGGGGGCGUGGACUAUUACAACAUAAUUUAGAGGUGUGCCGGCAGGUGUGUGAGGUGCCAGGUCAGGUGUGCCAGCGUUAGUUACCCCGUUAGGAGCGAUUCUAACACCCGCGUCAUCGGGGGCCGCCGGACCUGAGCGCAGCCCCGUACAGACAGUUUUUCUUACGUUGUGUCACUAAUUAUCGUUUGCAAGAGUCGCCACAACGCCCCACGCAUUCACUGUCGAUGGGGAAAGGCUUUCCUACACUGGCGUUAGCGUAGAUGAUGUAAUAUUGCAGAAAACAAGCUCAAAUGUUCUCGGCGGGCGGAGCGGGGCGGGGCGGGGCAGUUUGACAUUCACCUCGUAACAAAAUUUUCGUCUUCACGGCUAAAAUACAUCUUUCCUGCACUGGUCUCAUAUAUCCACGUGUGCACGGGCGUGGAAGGCUGACAAACCACUACAUGCCGGAGAUGACCCGACCCGCCCCGCCCCAACCAACCA